rnacentral:rRNA from 1 species
AUUGAACGCUGGCGGCAGGCCUAACACAUGCAAGUCGAACGCGUCGCGGACGGGUGAGUAAUGUCUGGGACACUUCCUGAUGGAGGGGGAUAACUAAUGGAAACUGUAGCUAAUACCGCAUCCCAUCAGCUGUGCCCAGAGGGGAUUAGCUAGUUGGUGGGGUAAAGGCUCACCAAGGCGACUAUCCCUAGCUGGUCUGAGAGGAUGAACAGCCAAACUGGAACUGAGACACGGUCCAGACUCCUACGGGAGGCAGCAGUGGGGAAUAUUGCACAAUGGGCGAAAGCCUGAUGCAGCCAUGCCGCGUGUAUGAAGAAGGCCUUCGGGUUGUAAAGCACUUUCAGCGGGGAGGCGUUACCCGCAGAAGAAGCACCGGCUAACUCCGUGCCAGCAGCCGCGGUAAUUC